rnacentral:rRNA from 1 species
GAUGAACGCUGGCGGCGUGCCUAAUACAUGCAAGUCGAGCGAACGGACGAGAAGCUUGCUUCUCUGAUGUUAGCGGCGGACGGGUGAGUAACACGUGGAUAACCUACCUAUAAGACUGGGAUAACUUCGGGAAACCGUAGCUAAUACCGGAUAAUAUUUUGAACCGCAUGGUUCAAAAGUGAAAGACGGUCUUGCUGUCACUUAUAGAUGGAUCCGCGCUGCAUUAGCUAGUUGGUAAGGUAACGGCUUACCAAGGCAACGAUGCAUAGCCGACCUGAGAGGGUGAUCGGCCACACUGGAACUGAGGCACGGUCCAGACUCCUACGGGGGGCAGCAGUAGGGAAUCUUCCGCAAUGGGCGAAAGCCUGACGGAGCAACGCCGCGUGAGUGAUGAAGGUCUUCGGAUCGUAAAACUCUGUUAUUAGGGAAGAACAUAUGUGUAAGUAACUGUGCACAUCUUGACGGUACCUAAUCAGAAAGCCACGGCUAACUACGUG